AAAAUUUACUGUGUUCUCGGCAAUAACAUGUAGUAUUUUAUAGGUUUUCUAUGCAUUAAAAUGGUUUUCUAGUAUGGACGCCACUCUGCAAUCAAGUUAAUUAUGUUGAUUUUUCAAUAUUAUAACCCAGAAAGGAUAUUGUGCAAUGAUUAGAACUAUAUUGUUACCUCUUCUUUUAGCUAGAAUGUACUGACCACUGUAAACAGUUGUAGGAAACUCCUAUGCAGUGUUGUACCAUAAAUUCUUUUGGUUGCUCCUUCUGAAUGUGUACUGGAGUUGCUAGAUGUGUGCUCAAAUUUUGGGGUUGCUUAGUUGUGUUCAUGUCUGUAUUGGUUGACAACAGAGCAUGAUAUUGAAUUCUGAUCCUAUUUCCCUGUUGUCUCCUCAGUUCUCCACUCAAAGUGAAGGAGGAUGAUGAAGUAGACAAUUUAGAAAUAAAGCUGGACAUCAAGAAAAAAUCAAAGCGUGUGUACCAGUCACCUCCUCCUGAAGUUGGACAAAAGAUCAGCCGAUCGCUAAAAGUUAGUGGCUUCAAUCCUCCAAUGUCAUGCUCCAUUUAAGACAUUGAGAUGCACAUAUUGUCAUAUUGCUUUUUAGGAACAAUCUAAGCUACGCAUUAGGAUUUGCGAUCUCAGUUGCAACUUAUAACAAUAUCAAUGGCAAAUAAAAUUAGAUUAGAUGACAUGGAUGCUCACUUAAUGAGCAAUUGCCCAACUUUUAUAUGUCUCUGGGUCCUUCAUGUUCCCUUUUCUGCUUGUGUAAAUUUCUUUUCCUAAUUGGGCCUUGAGAAAAUAAAAGGUUGGGUAUGCCCCUAUGCCCAUCACCCUGUCAUUACUGUGUACCAAAGUAACAUCCAUAAAAAGUUUGUCGAUCUAUAUGGUGAUUAAGGGCUACAGGAUUUUAAUAGUGAUGUGUUUAUACUUCUUCCUGAUGUGCUGCAAUUUGGGAGUUUUGUAGUACUGCAAUAUUGGGCAACCUGCAAAAUUCUUCUAAAUUAUCAUUUUAUGAUAAUAGUCCUGGAUGACUCUUGUAUAUGCACAAAUAUUUUACACGUGUCCACAAGAAAAGGAGUUGUGAAUUGGCCAGAUCAUGAUCUUAAUCUUCUUUGUUUAGUUGGAUCGUUGCAGAGUCUCAAUGCCAAAACUGGACUAUUCAGUAAAAGAAUGAAGAUUAUCCAUGGCAAUCCUACACUUCAUGCGCAAAGAGUGGCUGCAAUAAAGGUCAAGAUAUUCAUAAUUCUUAUUUUCAAGUAUAUGCCUAUUUUUAUUGAUACAAUAAUAUAUGGUGUAAUCUGUAAACUAUUAGUGAUGUCCAAAAUAUUGCUCAUUGUUUAUAGCUGCAAGUUGUUGGAUCUUGAUAGUUAGAUCAUAGGCUCGUAACACAGAAAUUAUUGAAACUUCUAAGGUUUAGAAAUGAAGUGAAAUUAAUAAUUUUUUAAUUUUAAAUGCUGAAGGGUCACAGCCAGAUAAGGCAGACUUAAUAUUCUAUGCAUUUUAUUUCAGCUUGACAUAGAUUUCAGAACAGCAUUUUGAUCACCCUUCUUGGGAUCCACUUGAGGGGGCCGACGUUUGGCUAUCCCCUUUCUUUCUCUGUUGAAAGAGGAAACCAUGUAUAAUAUGCUAGAAACAUGAAGUGUGCGACAGUAUAACUAGAAGCAUGGGAAAGUAUUGGAGGAGAUUGCACCAUUAGCUUUCAAUUUGAUUGAAACUGAAGAGCUUUUGAUUUACACAAGUGCUUAUAUAUGCAUGCAGAAAGCCAAAGGAACUGUUGCUGCCAGGAAACAUACUUCUGAGACUCUGAAAGCUUUCUUUAGCGAUCCUGAAAACCGCCGCAAAAGGAGCAUUGCUAUGAAAGGUCAGGUUGCAAAAUCCAGUAAAUUUUUGGCUUCAACUCAUUGAAUUAUGCUCGAUAUUUUCUCUGACCUAAUGGCCAAUCUCAGUUUUCAUUAGUUGAUGCUUUAUCAUGCAUUUGCUACCAUGAUCCAAGUGAUACCUGGAAUGCACUUCCUUGGUUCAGAAAUUUUAUGCUCGAUAUUUUCUCUGACCUAAUGGCCAAUCUCAGUUUUCAUUAGUUGAUGCUUUAUCAUGCAUUUGCUACCAUGAUCCAAGUGAUACCUGGAAUGCACUUCCUUGGUUCAGAAAUUUCAAUGUGUUUUCUUCUUUUCUUUUUUUUCAUUUUUAAUGAAAACUGUGGUAGGAAAAAUUGUACCCUAGUUGAUUCAUAUGGUAAACCACUUCCAGAUUUAAUCAUCAACCUCUCGCUCACAAGUAUUUGAUUACUUAACUCUUUGGCCACAUGCAAAUUAAACUCGACUACAAGCAUGUACUUUGUCAUUUAAAUGCUGAUAUCCAUGCACAUCUCUGACUAAAUNNNGCAGUACUGUGGACGCGAAGGACAUAGGAAACACUACUGUCCAGAACUUAAGGAUAGCAUGACAGACAGGCAGUUUAGAUGUGGGUUAUGUGGGGAAAAGGGCCAUAACAGAAGAACAUGUCCAAAGUCAAAGAUGAGCAAUCGCAAAAGCAUAGUUAGAAGGCGCCACAGCUGCAAGAUUUGUCAUCAAGGUGGCCAUAAUCGCAGGACAUGCCCAAUGUCAAGGAUGAGCAAUCCCAGAAGCACAGUUAAAAGACGUCGCUGCUGUAAGAUUUGUCAUCGAAGUGGCCAUAAUCGCAGGACAUGCCCUCAAUUAAACCGAUCAAAAUUAGUCAGUAGCCAUACAACUGGAUGCAGAGUAUAUACAUGCAGUUUGUGCCAAGGGAAAGGGCACAAUGCGAGGACAUGUCCUAACAGAAAUACAGAGCCUACAAUUGAUAGUCCUGGAUAUGAAGAGGACAUCAACGGCCUUCUUGUGGACUAAUGUAUCUUCUUGAACUUCUGACAGUGGGUUCUUUUUUUUUUUUUUUUGCACUUCUAGUUUUGUUGUUCUCUGAGUCUUCGUUCUAACGAAUCUGUUGUUCGUUAACUCAUGAAAGUUGCCAUAUAUUUGAUGCCAAGUUACUGUUAUUACGUUUCCCGUUUCCUCUCUGAUGCUACAGGCUUGGAAUUUUCUAUCACAAGUUCAAAGCUCACUACCAGAUAUUACUAUAUAAAAAUAUAGACAUAUUAAUAUAAUUUGAAAUUAUAUAGAGCCAAAUUGCAUUGGUGCAGUUACAUUUUCUUAGAUUUUUUAAAAAAAUUUAUCCCUUUAAAAGAAAUAAGGUAAAAGAUGCAUAUAAGCUUUUGAACAUUUAGUCAAAGUUCAAAGCAGUUCAGUUAUAUUUUUAAAAUUAAAAAAAGUAAAAUAAUUAUAUUUUUAAAGCUAAUUCAUUUCUUAAUAAUGAUAACAGUGUGAUAUUUUUUUUUUAUCAAAAAUGUAAAAGAAUUAUUAUUUUAUGAUCUUAUUCACUAAAAAAAAAAAAUUAAUACUUCUUUACAAUAAAAAAGCUCGAGUUAAAAAAAGUUAAAUCACUUUACUUUCGCAUCUAAAAUUAACUGUACCUUUUGACAAGAAAUAAUGAUUCAGCUCAUCAAGUGUACUCAAUUCUAAUUAUUUUACCAUUACUACGACGUCGAACCACCCAAAGACUAAUCUAAGUCUGUCAACAAAACCGAGCUGGGCCAAGCCCAAAAGUGACAUCACCCAAAUGCACGUACUUGUAUCUCCCGCACUGCCUCUGUUCAACUUUAAUCCUCCCCUAAAAACGGAGUUGAAGUCCUCUCUGUUAGGGUUCCUGUGAUCCAGACUCACCUGCUUAGCUUAGCCAUGGCGAUGGCGACGCAAACCGGAAUUGGCCUUUCCAAGAUCCUCAUCCUGGUCGGUGCAGGUACUAUCCGCAUCCGGUCAAUCUCAAUCGAGCAUUUUAUACGAUUUUGAUUUUUUAUUUUGACUUCGACUCUUCUGGCGUUGUGUACAGGAUACACUGGUACUGUAAUGUUUAAAAAUGGCAAAUUAUCUGAUUUGAUCGGUGAACUUCAGGUACUGUAAAGAUUGUUCUUUCGGUUUGUUAGACACUUAGUUAAUUAGCUAGUUUGUUGGUUUUUGUUAGUUUUGGAUUGCAUUGCUUUUUCAUGACUUCUAUUUAUAGCUAGCUUAAAUUUCUUUCGAGAGUUUAAUCUAGAUCUGAUUAGGUUAGAGGACAGGUUGGUCAUCUUGCUAUGGUGUUACUAGGCAUAUCAGAUGAUCUAAUUGAGUGGAAAUAUUAUUGUUUAUUCUUUGUACACCUUUUUCCUGCUAACGGAAUUUGUUUAUAUUUGUGCUAUGUUAUUUUAAUUUGUUUGUGUUGGUGUUUAUGUUCACGUGCAGUCUCUAGUAAAGGGAUUGGAAAGAUCUGGGGAAAAUUCUGAUGGUGAUUCUGAUUACACUGAUGCCAUUGCCCAACAAGUAUAUAAAUAUGGUUUAAUUAGAAAGUGUUUUUUAUUUUUAUCUUUUGCUUGUUACAACAGGUUGUAACUCGAUAAUUUAUUUGAAAUUGAUUGCAGGUAAAGCGGUUGGCAAUGGAGGUUCGGCAACUUGCCUCAGCACGGCAAAUAACUGUUUUAAAUGGGAAUUCUGGUCAAAUGGGUAAGCAAAUACCAUAACUUUUAAUGCAUCCAUUAUUGUUUUUAUGUUGCAGAUAAAGCAUAGCAUAUAUCAAUAGUUUUAAUUGGUGGUGUUUUUCUUGUUGUUUUGCUAAUUGUGCUUUUGCUCAAUGUAGGUAAUUUAACUGGUCUCAUAGUUCCAGCUGCUGCAGUUGGGGCAUUGGGUUACGGAUAUAUGUGGUGGAAGGUAUCUAAUAAAAUAUCAGCAUAUUUAAUCUGNNNUUAUCUGGAUUCCUACUGAUGAUUAUUUCGCUUUACAUCUUAAACAAGUGUGUCACCUGUUGUUUGUUUGUUUUCUUCUCCCACUUACAUGUAUAUUUAGGAAAUUUCUUACCAAGCUACCUUCAACAGACUAAUUCUUUUUACUUUUAAUAAUCAGGGUCUCAAGUUGUCAGAUCUCAUGUAUGUAACCAAGCGCAGUAUGGCAAAUGCUGUUACAAACUUGACAAAACAUUUGGAGCAAGUUUCUGAGGCUCUGUCUGUAAGUGGUAUCAAUUGAUAACAUGUUAAAUAGAUUAAGCGACAGUAUUUCCAGUUGAUUUUCCAUUGAUUUUGAAACUAUAAACGGAAAAUCUAUUCAUUCACAUAUGUGACACAGCUCGGGUGUGAACUUGUUCAAUUAACGAUUCAAAGGAACUACUACUUGAUCAAUAUUCAUUUCAGAAUACUUAGUUAUCAGUCAACAUGUAUAUUCUAAUAAAUAUACUUGCCAUCUAACUUUGAGGAAUGUGUUACAGCAUCUGGUUAUUUUCAUUUCUCUUUUUUCUUUUUUGAGUUAGGCUGCAAAGGUGCAUUUGACACAACGAAUACAGCUUGUAGAUGAUAAAAUGGAAACCCAAAAGGAGAUCUCAAAGGCAAUUCAAAAUGAUGUGAGAGAAAACUCUUCCUUGAUCUCUUUUUGUGUGUUUGUUCAUGUUUUUGUGUCUCUCUCUCUCUCUCGUUAUACGUGAGAGGUGUUUCAUUUAUUGCUUCUUUUAGCUGUCGGUAAUAUCUAUACAUAGUUAUUAAAGAUGCAAAGGUGUUUGGAGCCUAGGUGCAAGGUACAAAGGUGCGCCUUAUCGAAGUGAGGUGCAAAAAUAAUAUUAUAAUAAUGCAUAAAAUCAUAAACUAGAUGUCAAUCUUUUUAAUAAAAUACAUGCACAAAUAUGAACUUGUCAUAUUUCUGAUCCAUAAUAAGAACUAAAAAGAAACAUGUUAAAGAGACAUAAAACCAUAACUAAAGACUUAUAUUCCUACUAAAUAAUUGUAAUUGCUAAAGCAUGUUCUAUAAGACAACUACUCAUCAUAAUUAAUCUCAACAUAGUAAUCCACUUUUAUGUCUUCUUCUUCAUUAAGUUCCUCAAUUUUCUUAAGGCCAUUUUCAUUUCCUCUUUAUAAUCUUUUUCAAAAUCAAUUUCUUUCUCAUACCUAAUUGUUGGAGGAGUAUUAGUCCUCUUUUGAGGACUUGAACAAACCCUUAUGCAACAUUCUUUUGAUUUCUUGGAAAUUGGAAUAAUAAGGUCUAAUAUUAAUGAGGCCCAAUUUACCAUCAACAGCCAAAUUUUAGUUAUAAGCUAAACUUAGGCCCAACUUUAGUGAGGCGGCCUCUUUUGUGCCUCACAGCCUCUGAUGUGCUUGCCUUAUUGAAGUUGCUUGCCUCUGAGGCUAUGAGGCGCGCCUUUAACAACUAUGCAUCUAUAUUGAUACUCAAGGGAAGGGCCAAAAACAUUAUAAUUUGACGUGCCAAAAUAAAAUACCGAAUUGAUGUUCCUCCCUCCUAAAAAAUCGCACACUUGAGGUGGAUUAGAACUUUUACGUUUUAAGGUUGGUGCGUCUGUGUGUAUUUCUCAAUUAAGGUAGAUAAGAACACUUGAUUAAAUUUCAGUAAAGCAACACUGUUAGCUUCUUACACCAUGCGCAACACCUAGGUGAAUGACUUGCUUAAUUUAUGAAUUUAAAAAACAUUCUACCAUUUUAAUACUUUCACCAGGUGCUGACUUGCUUAUUUUUACUACAUGUCAGUACAUAUCUAUACUAGUCUUUUUUGGCCUUUUCAUAGGAGAGAUAUAUAAUGGUUUUGCAAAGAUAUAUGGACGUCGGAAAAUCUGGUUCUUCAUUUUAUAACUUUGAUGUGUAAUGUCGCACAAGGGCCUACGGUUGGGGUGAGAAAAAAAUUUGUCUGUGACAUUAAGCAAAUGUCUGAAGACAUUGUAUACCAAGAAGUUUAAUGUAUCUUAGCUACUUUGAUUGUAGAACUUAUUCAUGUUUAAUAAUCUCUUAUAUUAGAAUGUGCAUAGUAGCCUCCAAAUAAGAUAGAGAAUUGAAUGAGGUAAUCAGAACAUGAAUAUAUAUUCUAAUGCAGUUUAUUGUUUUGCUGAAGGUUAAUGCUGCUUCUGAAAAUUUAUCACAAAUUGGCUCAGAGUUGUGGCAGUUGCAGUGUUUAGUUUCUGGCUUGGUAAGUUAAAUUUCAUGAUUUUACAAAAAUAUAGGUAGCGUUAGGGAACUUCUUGGCUGUCUAGCAUUCUUGAUUGCUAUUACCUCGUCUAUUAAUGUAUUUUAGUUACCUCAAUUUCUUUUAAGAUUAGCAUAUUCAUUUUAUUUACCUCAACUGGUUUUCUGGUUACAACUUUUUCAUUCUUAUUCUUUUCCUAUAGUGAACAAAAAGUUCAAUAAUAAUGAAGGUUAAAAUGGUCCGUUUUCACCAUCUGGCUAUAUUCCCAUAUGCUUUUAUUUUCGCUUUGUAUUGUCAUUUAUUUCUUUUGCUGAAUUCUUUGCUAUCCUGUUUCAGGAUGGGAAGAUAUGUUCAUUGGAGGAGAAACAGGUAAGGCAGCUUUCCCUUUUUCUACUAACUUGUUAUUAAUAGGAUUUGUCUAUUUUCUCAUUAACAUUCCACAAAUAUGCAUUCAAGUCUGACGAAAGUUCGUACAUACCUACCUCUGUGCGUGUGCACUCGCGCAUUUGCAUCUUCUGGGAUGCAGUUUUGGUGUUGGUUGAGGGAAAAAGAUGUUUAAAAUGUUAUCUUCAAUUUUAUUUCAACUCCUGUAUAACAAUUUUAUUAAUGAAUGUGAUUUUUUGUUAUUUCAAUUUCCAAGUAUGAUUUUCAGGGCAUCUUAAUUUUUAGUGCACAAGUAGUAGCUCUCUCUUGGUAUGAAACACACUUUCAUUUUAGUUUUGCUUUACAAAAACCAGAAGAAGUUUGCACACAUUGGACAAUGUCGGUGAUAUAUCUCUGCAUCUGUCUGUCUGGCAAUUGUGUCCUUCCUAAUCUUGAGUUUAUUUCGAAUGAGAUUGUCAGAAGUUGUUCUGUAAAUAGUUAAGCUGUUUUUCUACAUAGAUGUAGCUCAUUAUUCCUGUCAAUUGUUCUGAGACUCAUUAAUCUAUUGUGUACAUUGCAAUUGCAUUACUUUUGUUUGAUCUACUGUUUCCUGUUCUUAUAGAUGUACUGAUUGAGUUUCAUGGUUGCAGGAUCUUGCAAAUAUGGGCGUGCUGUAUUUGUGCAAUUUUGUUGGCGGCAAAAAAGUGAAAAUGCCUAAAGCUCUCGAGGUUUGUAAAGCAUUUUAUGAAUUGCUCAUUUUUUAUUCUCAAGAAAAUAGGCAAUUGUUAGUACUGAAUUAGGACUGAUGGUAAGGAGGAAAUGUAAGAUGGAAGCUCUUAUGGUUUGAUGCAAUGCAUGGACCAGAAAUGGAGAAUUCUUUCUUCAUUUUAGGUCGUUAUGAAAUCAUUCAAGCACAUGCCAUUGUCGAUUUUAGGUUGCAGAACUUGAAAAUCACUUCCACCUUUAUAAUCCAAAUAAACAAAGAUACUUCUUUCUUCCUCCUCUAUGAGUUCUCAUUUUCUUUUUGUGUGUUCUCCAUCCAAUCAGAGCAUCUUCUUUUUUAUGUCCCUCUUUUUUUGUGUGACUCUCAUUCUGAUUUAUGUCGUGGGCUUCAAAGAAGAAUAUAACCUUGUCUUUCCUUGAUGUUGUCUUCUCUAGCUAGCUUCUUUUGUUGCAAGAAUUUUAUUUUUUUUCUGAUUCUCAGAGUAUUUGAGCUUUUUUUUUGUAUUGCAGUUCAGUUCCCAUUUGUGCGACUUUUGCUACUCGUUGACUUAGAGUUUGUUUAAUGUCUAAUUGCAGGAUCAACUUAAACCUUCUGGGAGAACUCGUUCUGAGCUUCCAAGUGGAAUGGUAUAUAUCCUAUAAUGUGCUUUAUGCUCUUACAUACAAAGAACAUGCACGACACUGUUGAAUGUCAACUGGUUUUACCUAUCUUUGGCAUUUAUCUUGAGCUAAUGUAAUAUAUGCAGUCAAAGGUACCUUUGGGUUGAAGUUGCUUGGACCGCAGUUAAUGCAGUGUGUCGACUGUUUUAUCUCAAGUUGAACCUGAGUUUCUUUGUUAGCAGGGUCUUAAGGAUAUUGCGGAUGGUUUGUUUCGAACGAUGAGUGAGCCAGCAACUGAUCUCCUGCUGCAAGAUGGAAUUGAUAAGUUGGACGAUCAACCACAGACACCACAUAGCAACCAACCAAGACCCUUGCUUAGGUUAGAAUCUAACUCUUAUUUAUCUUUGUGAACUGACUGGAUUCAAUCUUGGUUGGUCAUGUUGGAGGCACUACAUUUCUUUUCCUCUAUUAUGUGUGUUGAUUUCUGGUUUAUACUUUAGUUUUACAUGGUGUUGUAUUUGCAGGUUUAGUUCAGUCAAGUGUUGAUGCAACAUUCCGAUAGAUGGUUUAUGGAUCCUCAUCUUUGCAACAUGCUCGUUGAGUAAUUUGUACUUUUACAAAUAAGGGAAGUCUCGAGCAAUCGUAAAGGUUGAUGCUCAAUUUCAUAUUAUGGUUCUUGUAUACAUGAUGUUUCAUAGUGUUUUAUUUAGUUCUUAAGUUUAAAGAACGCAUCUAUUCGAUUGUGUCAUGGCUGGCCAGGUUGUAGAUAUGAAAAUAUAAUAUUCCAGUUGGACCAAAUUUUUCCAUAAAAAAAUUGGAUGAGAAACUUCAGAAUUUUUUGCGUAAUCUUUCUUUUCGAAGUCAUUUCGGCAUUGCCUCUUUUUAUUUGAAUGAAACACGAAUAGAUGCAUGACUGAGGGAGGGUGGGCCUUUUUUUUUUUUUUUUUUUUUUUUUUUUUUUUAAUAUAGAAAGUUGUCGAUAAAUUUAUUUAGGCAAAACCAAAUGGUUGUUAGCCCGCAGGUUAGGUUUUAUAACAUGUAUAAUUUUUGCUUAUAAAAAUGGGCAGUAGGGGUCUGAUUGAAGAGAUAGGGUUGACGGAUUAAUUUAAUUUCAGAUUGCUACGUUGCUCGCAUGAAAUAAAUAUGAUUUAAGAAGUAAUGUCAAUGAACAUGUAAUGUUAUUUUUCCAAUUAAGAGAAGAUUCUUUAGGGUAAAUCAAAUUAGUCAAAAGUGCAAUUCGUCUUAUUCUUGAAUGUAUCCCAUCUCUACCUGCCACUUGGAAUAAAGACAAGAAACGGCGGUACUCUAAUAACUUUAUUUAUUUCUCACAGAGGUGCAAUUUAUGGAACAAAAGGAAAUAAUUAGUUUACAUAUGAAGCCUCUGCAUGUCAAUUCUAAAACAUAAUAAGCAAAACAGUUCAAAUCACUAGUUAAAAGUCACCAUUUCUACAGGAAUUGCCCUCUUCUAUUGUACAAUGGCAAUAUGUUAUCAUCCUUGGAUUCUAUCCCUAAACCAGACAAAGCAUCCCCAUUGGCGGGGUAUGUAUAAGGACUCUGAUUCAUUCCACUGUAGAAUAUCUGUCCAGCUUCAUUAUUUUUGCCCAUUUCUGAAACCAAUUUCGCCUCGUGUUCAUCAUCACUAGGAUUUAAGUUCUUCUCCACUAGUUCCUUAAACAUGGAAGAUUUAAGCAGGAGGCCAAGUGCAGUUGGAGAUGAUGACUUGGUGCAAGGACUAAUUGGUCCAAAAGUUUCUUGCUUUAGAGGGGUGUUUAAAUCCUCUACCAUAUAGGGAUUGUUAUUAGAGUGGUAUAGUUGGAUUAGUUUCUCUGCUGGAUUGAUUUGAUUGGACAAAGUUGGCAUUGGAAAAGGUUCUAGUGUUGAUUUUGAAUGUUCGGUAGUAGAAGGGCCUGAUCCAGGUCUCAGCCAUCUAAUAUAUGUACUCAAAUCAAAAUUGGUCACAGCAUUGAUUCCUCUGUACUCAAUAGCUGCAAUAUCAUAGGCAUGAGCAGCUUCUUCUUGGGUACCUAUUGAAAGAAACAAACUUUCCAUGAGGUUACUCAGUUUCAUAUUUAUGUUCUUGAAAUAUAAAACAAGAAUAGCUUGAAGUGGUUCAACUUACUGUAAGUGCCAAGGUAGAGAUACUUGUUACCAAACACUCUCCCUAUCCUUGCUUCCCAUCUUCCAUUGUGAUGGUGCCUGCAGUUUUAUUCAAUUUACCGCCUCAGAAUCCACUGUUUCCUUGGUAAUUAGCAGCAUAUCAAGUAUGAAUGACUGUAACUGUAUGCUUAAUUACCUUGCAACUCCUCUAUAUUUGGAUACUCCUCUAGAGAACCCACUGCUUCUCCUGCAAAUUAACAAAAAAAUAUCCUUGUAGUUCUUCUGAUAACCUCAUAUUAAUUACGAUCAAUAAUGACCAAGGGAAUUAUGAUUACCUUCUUAGAGUGGCAAGAUACUCCUCUUUUGUUACAUUUUUCAUCAUGUCAAUUUCUUUCUCAUAGUCAGCUACCUAUAUAGCAAAACCAAUAAGAAUUUUUAAAAUUUUGUAACAGAGCUUCUCCUGUAUACCUUCACAUUGCAAAGUAUAAACUGAACAACCAAAAAAAGGACAUGAAAAGGAAAGAUUAAUGAUACCGGAAAAUUUGUGAAAGUCGAUGCUCCCCAGUAUUUAAGAGCAGCCAAAUCAUAUGCUCUAGCUGCAGAUUCUUCUUCAUCGUAAGCUCCUGUAAAAUUAACAACUCUCUGUACAUUAGAUUACUUAACUGCAGAGAAAAUGAUUUCAAUCUGAUAAGUGAAUGAUACUUACCAAGAUAAACUGCUCCAUGCAAGAAUUUCAAGUCCAUAGAAGCACCCAGAUGACAAAGAAAAAAACAGACAAUAAUGAGAAAUGAUCACAGUAAGUCCUUAAUAUGAAACAAAUAGAUCUUUCGANNNNNNNNNNNNNNNNNNNNNNNNNNNNNNNNNNNNNNNNNNNNNNNNNNNNNNNNNNNNNNNNNNNNNNNNNNNNNNNNNNNNNNNNNNNNNNNNNNNNNNNNNNNNNNNNNNNNNNNNNNNNNNNNNNNNNNNNNNNNNNNNNNNNNNNNNNNNNNNNNNNNNNNNNNNNNNNNNNNNNNNNNNNNNNUUCCUCUGUGUUGGAUUCCAAGAUCCUUUAUCCCACAAAUGGGCUUCAUAUCGUCCAGUCCCAUCGAUGUCUGCUGACUCCCCGAAAUCUUGAACUUCUCUUUACGGUAGUAGCAGUAGCACCAGCAGCAGUGGCAGUAGUAUUUUGAUCACCAUGAGGCUGCUGCUGCUGCUGAUCAUUAGAGCUCAAUAAAGCUAAAGAAGAGUCUCUUCGCCGUCUCUUAAUGCACUUAGUCUCCAUAGCUUCACCUUCUAUCAAGCACAAGCCACGCCUUCCAGUAUUUGCAUGACAAUUCCCAGUAGCCAUUUCCAUCUUUUUUUCUUUCCCCUCUUGGAUUCUCAGCAGAUACAGACCAAAUCCUACGAUAUGCUGCUUCCGGAUUGGAAACUUAUAACCAUGUUUCCACAACCUUGUUUUCUAGUGUAGUUUGUUUUCAGUUGUAACAACAGCUUCAAUGGUCGAUGCGUACUAUAGCAUCCGAGACAAAAUUCUAGUGUCUGCACUCUUACUAGCCAGCCAAGAAGGACUCUUGACGUUUUUGUUAGGGCAUAUCACAAAAUUAUCCACAUUUUUUAUUACCCUCCAAAAAACUCUUUGGUAUCAUCAACAUUAUUUCUAUCACAUAUAUAUUCGUUAAAUCCGUUUGGAGUUAGAUUAAUGUUGAUUUUCUGUUGUUAAUUUAGCUGUGUUAUCUUAAUGAUUAACAAAAUUAUGCAUACUGCAUUAUGUCAUUUUUUAUUAACUAAUAUACACACUAACUAUGGGCUAUAUUUACCUUUGAUCAGUGCCAUGUCCUUUUUUAAAAAAAAUUAAAAAAAGAAACAAAGAAGUCUUAUUAUUUGAAUAUCUGUUUCUAACUUUAAAAUGGUUUUGUGCAUAGAAAUUAAUUAAAUUCUUUUAAAAAUAUAGAGCAUUAUCACUUGGAUCUCAUGUAAGGGGUUAGGCCGUUGCAAAUUAGAUUUAUUAAUUGUUUUAUUGGUUAUUUGUUCAGUUUUCUGGGGUUCAUGAGACCAUAAUAAUGUUUGACACUGUUUUAAUUUUUAAUAUGAUUUCAUUAGUCUUGUAGAUGGUCGAUUUUUAACCUCACUGGAAAGGUUCAUAAGUCUAUGAAAACUUACUAGCAAACACAGCCCUUGUUACUUCCCUUUUUUUGAUUCUAAUCAUUAAUAAACCUUGAAUUGUUUCUAACCAAACCCAAAAUCUGUUGCAUCCGAUUUUUUUGAAAAAUUCAAUUACAUUUUGUAAAGAGAAAAUAUUAAUUAAUUACAUGAAAAAACGAAAUUAAAAAUAGCAAUUAACUAGAAGUUAUGGCAUAUAUGUAUAUAUAUAUUUCAUAUAGAACAAGUCUCUCUCAUUUAUAAUCUAAGAAAAAACAUAAAUUGCAACAUGUUAAAAGUUUAAUUUGAAUGAUCAAAGAGGACAAAGUAACACCUCAGACAAAACCUGAACCUGACUUAUUAUAGAACGAUUCCAAAAAAAGCCUCUUAGACUUUUGUUUGAUGGGAUAAUAGAUGUAAGCAGAAACCUAUAUAAUGUACAAUUACAUGAGAAACAACCUUAUAAUAUUUAUUAUUAUCUUUUGUGAGUUACCUGUGCUUGGGAUCCUACGUCAAGAGCAGUCCAUGUCGAUUUAAGCUUAUUUUGAGGGAUGUCUCGUAUUUCAAUAUUCAUCUUUUUAAAUGUUUGUGUAAUCAACCAACCAUGGAGGUCUUAACUCUGGACGGUAUUUCCUAUAGCAUCAACGUUAUACUAUGCUUCUGACUAUCUCACCAUACUCUAAUUAUACUACUUAUUAUACUGUAAUUAUUACAGUGGUACUUGCUUAAUUACUGGCCUCAUUGUCAAAGUAAUUUAAUAUCCUUUUACUCUCAGGUAAAAAAAAAAAAAGAAAAAAAAAAAUAGAUUUCAAAUAAAAUAUUUAUAAAAUUUAAAGUAAGUACGACUCUUUUAUUAAUUAAGUUUAAUAUUUAGAGUAUAAAUAUAUUAUACAGAAAAUUGUUCGAGAAAGAUUACAACAUUGUGUAUGUGACUUUUAUCACUUGAAAUUAAAGCUCAAAUAUCAAAUUGUAUUGAUAAGUAGAAAUACAUAUAUACUAGUUGAAGGUUUUUGAGAUAUCACUUACACACAUAAUUUAUACAUAAAUAAAUAGUAUAUAUUUUCAGUUUUUUUUUUUUGAUAAGUUUCAAUAGGCAUAAAAACAUCCAAAUAGUAAAAAGAACUAAAACUACAGUCAAAAGAAAAAGUACACUUCAAAAUGAGAUCAACAAUUGUAGGCCAAGAAAUGCCAAUUUAGGAAAAAAUUUCACCAAAUAUUUUUGAACCCAUCUACUAGCGUUAGAGUCCAAUAGCUAACCCUAACAGGUGAACCGACUAGUCUUUUAAUUCAAUGCUUCUUCGUGUGUCUAUUAUCCAUUCUUUUCUUUUCUUCUUCGGAUAUAUAACAUAGUCUGGUGUUUCAAUAAAUAUACGAGAGACAAAGAGUGACUGAAUAUAAUUUUUAUAUCUAUGAAAUGAACAACCACAUAUAUUAAACACUCUAACAAGGCUUUCCAACAAAGCAGUCGAGAGCACCAGAGUAGCGAGUGAGUCUUGUUACAAAUGUUCCUGGCUUUGCCUUGAUCAAUUGUAGCCUUGAGAAGUCAUGUGUAAUCGGUUUUCCAGAUUCAACAAAAACAGCUCCAUUCAUCAUCAGAUCUCUGUCUGAUCUCCAAUUCCAGUUCUUCCACUCGCUUUCCAAUGAGUAUUCCCUCUUCGUCACCUUCGUUGACAACGAACAUGAAACAAUUUCGUCAAGAACAUUUCCAAGAACAAUAUUUCUUUUUCAGGUACAUGCUUUUCUGAAGUUACUAAUUAUGUACAUAUGGAGAAUGCAGUAAGAACCCUUUUAGGGAACCUUUUUCAUGCAAAACUAUUUAAUGAUCAUUACCUCCUUGGAAAAGAUAUUAUUGGGAGCAAUAAAUCGGUUGCCUUGGCUGAUGAUCGUGGGUUUGCGGCUACCACCGAUGGCAUACAUAAGCCAAUGAGUGUAGUCAUUGUUGACAACAUGAAAGAAACCCCAUCUGCACCUAGGCAUUCUCUGUACCAAACCUCUACCAAAGUGGUUGAAUGCAACUGUGAUUUGCAUUAUAGUAUCAGCCGAAUAGCCAUCGCUUGCACCGAACAACAUCACCUGCAUCAAUCAUCACAGAUGAAUCUAAUACAAUUCAAGGAUCAAAGCGAAGAUAAUAAUUAGAAUCAUAUUAAGCAAUUACCUCAUUGUGAUUUGUGAAGUGGCAAUUGGAGAUGGUAAUAGAAGUUGACCCCAUAAUAGCAUCAAUUAGACCAUCCUGACAGUUGGACAUAGAAACAUGAUCAAUCCAAAUAUUAGAGGACCCAAAUAUGGAAAUCCCAUCACCAUCACUUUUAGUCCUGAAUCCGUAAUGAUCUACAGAAUCUCUAACAAGGCCACCGGAGCCUGAAACAAUGUCAUGAAUCCGAAUACCAUGGAUGAUCACAUUCUGAACGAACUGCAGAGUAAGACCAGCACCACCAGCAAUAUGUACAUUAGCUCCUCUAGCAUCAAUGGUUUUGUUGCUUGAAAUCAUGAGUUCUUGAUUGAGUCUAAUAAUCAUACUACGUGCAAAAAUAAUCCAAAGAGGUUCAUUCUGGAUCACUGCAUGGCGUAGGGUUCCGGGUUUAGGGUUAACCAUGUCAUUGUCUGAAGGAUCAGUGACAAUAUAAAACUUUCCGUCCUUCCCGCCAGUUGUGCUAUGGCCAAAGCCGAGGACACACUCGACUAGCCUCUUUCUGUUCAACGCCCAUUUGGGGUCACACCGCCAGCAUCUAUCUAUAGGAUUAGUUGCUUUGCAUGGACCGCCACCUUUUCUCCUCAUCAAAUUCCUUCUCGUGCUGUUGGUACCCGAUACAGCCCUGCAUGCAAACGUUUCAGCUUUAAUUUGCAAAUGAUACCAUAUAAUCGAAACUUGUAAAAGUUCACGUAGAAAGGGGAAAAAGAAAAUUUGUCUCGUUCCUGUUGAAGUUGUUUCCACAGAUAUCACUAUUUUCCUACCUGAAUAGCGAUUCACAACAGACUUGCAAAAUGCACCCACAUUAUGUAUCGUAUAGUCAAUAACAUUUCAAGGGACAAAAUACUUUUCUGCCAGGUUAAGAUUUUGAAACCCAGUUGAAUCCAUAAUCUUUUUCUUCUUCUUUUUCUUUUCAUUUUAAAGAAAAUGAUUAAGGCAGAGAAAAUAAUUUAACUCACUUGUUAACUUGAUAAUUAAGCUGGUUGGAGACAUUAAAAGGAUUGGGAUUAUAAGACCGAUAGGCGGCUUCACGGGCAAUAUCCGCUUUUUGCUUCCAGUACUCAUCAAAAUCCCCUAUAUUGGCAUGCAAAGUCGGGAAAAUCACAGCAAAAGAAGCAAAAAGAACGAACGUAAAUAAACUUUUGUUCAUUAUCACCAUUGUUCUUCGCUUUUGUUUUUUUUUUUUUUUUUCUUUAUGGUUUUUUUCUUGGUUUCAACCUAAGGCCAAGAUCCGAGGAGGCUGCGGCCUCCGUAGUCUGAGAGGAGACUCCAAGAUGGAAGCUCGGAGCCGUACAGACUCAACCAGCAAAAAGUGAGUCUCUUGUGCUGCUAUAAGGAUUGGCAAAUAUUUCUCAUAGAGUUUGUGGUGUAUAUAUAAUAUAUAAACAAUUAAAUGGGCUAAAGCCAUAUUAGGAAUGAAUGGUGGAUUUGGAAAUUUGAUGAGGGAAUUAUGGACGACCACUUCUGAUUUAACGGUUAUAUGUCUAAUUCUGGCUCUUACUAAAUCUCUUAGUUGUUUAUUAUUAUUAUUAUUACUAAUAAACUUCUUCUCUCGAUCCUAAUCUCUUAAUUUGUUCCUUAAUUAGGUAGAUUCAGCUGUAAUUUUUUUCAUUCUACACUAAUUGCUUUCAGUGGUUUGAUCGAGUGUUACGUGGGUUUGUUGUAUAUAGGGAUGUUACUUGGAAAGAAAAUUGGUGGUGAUUACCAUAAACGUUUGCUAGGCUGAUGUUCUUACCAUAUUUCUUUCUUCUUACGGUUUAUCGGCCCUAAUAUACUCAUUAUCAAGUUUCAGAAAUUUAAGAUUUGAUACACCGGAUUAUGCCACCAGAGUUUAUACAUAAUUUGUUCCUUUUUUCUGUUUAAAUUUUAACGCUCAAGAUUUUAAUUUUAUUUUAUCUUUUUAGGUUAUUAUUGCUCGAUUCAAAACUAAAUAGUGAAUUAUCUAAUCUUAUCAGCCUUUAUUUAGUUUACACUAUUAAAUUAGAUGAAAUUGAUUUAGGCUAUUGAUUUAUAUUUUAUUUGAACAUCUGAAUGCAUUCAGGAUGUUCAAUAGAUUAAGGAUUUAAAAAUAGUUGGAGAAUAUUGAAGAACUAUUUUUUUUUCUACCAUUCUCGAGCAGAAUGAUAUUAUCUGUGCAAAAAAAAUAAUAAUAAAGGAUUUGCAAAUAUGAAGCAUAAUUCAAGAGAGCAAAUUUGAGCAUAUUGAUUUCAUUUAUGCUUGAAAGAGAAAGGCUUAUAGUUGCCACUUAAAGUUAUUUGCUCCUGUUUUCAAUUAAAACAGCAGAUGCACGAGCAUCUUCGCUAUCAAUGUUACAUUAUACAAUUCUGCAGAACAAAUGCUAGGUACAGUACUUUUCCAGUAGCUUUAUUUUAAGGGUUACAACAAUGUGAAUAGAUAUCCCCGAUGAAUAUUAGAGAUGGAUAUAUACCUUGUAAAUUUUACAAUAGCCAAUUCCCCACAAUGUGGUGCAGCCCUUAACCAAGCAGAUUAUAUAGGUCAAGAAUGGGAUGACCAAAUUCAAUUGUAGGCCAUCCUGCUUCAAUGUCCUUCAACUUGCUUCAUAACUAAAUUUGUGUGUACUUCACAGUGGACACUUUUUACCUUUAUAUACUCCCAAGAUGUAUUUUGAUAUCAACAUAGCCGCAUUAUGAAGCUUCCCAAACCUUGUAAUCUUUUCCCUCAAUGGCCAUGGACCAAUUUUUCCCGCUUGGAGGUUCAUAAUGACCUGGUCCAAUUUUCAUUGCCACUUUCUCCUCUAUGAUGGCUGCAUACACGUCCCUUUCUGCCUUCGUAAUUUUAACCUUAAACAAACAAACCAAGGUAGGCAAUCAGUAAUUCGAUCUUUUACUGUUAAUGUUUUUUUUUCCUCUUUCUUCUACAGAUGAGAAUUUAUUCAUUAUAAAAACAGUUAAGAUUGGCUUAUCCUUCUUACUAUUGAGAAUGUACAAAUUGGUUUGGGAAGUAAUAAGAAAGAAAAUGGGGAAGAACAAAAAUGUGGCACAUAGCCCCAUACAGAAAUGAAUUCGCAUUAUGCUAUCAAUUUCCUUUUCGCUUAGAAAGUGGAAAAUGCAAGACCUAUGCUUUCCUUUUCUUUUUCUAUUUUGCCAGUCUUGUCAUAGAUUGCAAACUUAUGACUUAUGAUUCAAGUAACUUCACUCCAGCACAAUCCAACAUACCAAAAACUAAAUGGAAAAUAGACAGAUCUAUUCUAAUACUUACUGAACUCCGGCAGUGGAUUUCAUUCCUCUUUCUGAGAGAGAUAAGAGAUGCAAUUUCAGACCGAUAAUGAGAGAAGAUGUGGUCAUAGAAAACAGUCGGCGUUCCUGGAUGGGUCAAGAUGUAAGCAUAUCCUUGCAUCUCCUUUCCAUUAGGAAAUCUCCAGUGACCCUUGAGGAAGAAAGAGUACAAAUCAGUCACAUAAAAGUGUCAUAAUAUCAACCAGUGAUUGCAGCAACAAAUAAAGGCUGGACAUUCUUUUCCAUUAUAACAAAAACACUGCCCUCUCUCCUUCAGAAUGCAGUAUCGGUACUGGACAACAUUCCCAUAUUGCCAAUGCAAUUCACUUUGCUUUUUGGUGCCUUCAAAAUCCUCAACAUAGACCUAUUUACUAAGUACAUUUUCUCUGCCCCUCCUUCAUCCUCUCUACUCUCUCCCACCUGUUCUCCAUUUGCUAGCUCCUAUUUGGAUAAUAGUAGCAGCAAAAGCAAUUAUCCUAUAAAAUCAUUUAACCCAUUUGGAGCUGACACUGAAACUGACUGAAGAUUUGGAGAUUUCAAAGACAUGAAGUAAAACAGAUAGGGAACAGAUUGCUUAGUUUUUACCCCGCUACAGUUAGUCCUAUUGAUACUUUCAAGCAAUAAUUCCAGACAGAAGAAGAAUCAUAAGUUAAGAAGUUUAAACCUGAGUAGAACCAGUAUCGUGAUUCUCUAUGAAGGUAACAGCACGAGAUGGCCACCAUCCCACGACUCCAGGAGGCUUUCCCUUCUGAUCCGACAACCGCCAGUACUCACACCUGUCCAGUGCCUAUACAAAAGAAUUUAAUGCUGUAAGCAUAAUUUACUCCACCCUGAAAGUGUUUGGAAUAAAUAAAAGGAAGAGAAAAGGAAGUUGCAGCUAGAGAAAACAACACUGGUUAUGAGAUAAAAUUUGGGUUUCAUGCUUCAUCUAAAUCAUUCAUGGUUAACAAUGUAAUCACUCUUAGAUUUCAGAAGAGUGAACAUAAUGAUUCUAGCAGUACUUGUAAAAACUCAUUUUGUGGUAUUAUCCUAAAUAAUGAAGCAUUAGUUACAAACUACAUGAAACCUUAUCGACAUCACUCCAUCCAGGCCAAUUUGUAACAUUAUCAUAUAAUUAAGGAGAUACUAAAUGUAAACCCCAAACAUCAGUCAAACAUAUCCUUCUCCUUCAUUCAGCUCAAUUAAGGGCCAGACUUUCAAAUGAAUGUUGAAAUACCAAAUUAGUAAAUGAACCAGAACCUACUCAGUCUUCUGCACAAUUCAUCCCUAGGUCCAUGUUAAGACAUGACGAAACCAUCCUAGUGAACUUCCAUCUUCCUAUGAAUGCACUCGGUUAUUAUCCAACCGGUUUGUCAUCAGAGAUUUGGAAGCUCAUCCUCCAUCUUAAUUCAGCAAGGCAUUCUUUAUAUCAAUACAUAAGUCAUUCUGUUUCCAAAGGAAUGCCCACAGACGAUAGGGCACAGCUUAAAAUAAUAUUAAAUUUUGAAAUGCUGUGAUAAUCUCUGUAAAGCUUCAUAUAGAACAAACUACAAAGGAGAAGAAACAUAAAUUAUAAACCGAAAACAAAUACAAUGUUAAGCGAAAAAACUAAUUCAAUAUUCAAUGGCAAGUAUAACCCAGCUACCUUGAAUCCAGAGACAGCAGUCAAAUACGUGCUGGAUUGACCUGUCAGAUGCUUUCUAUAACAGGCAUGUUUCCUGAGUAUAAAUAAUUUUAAGACGAUCUGGAUGAGCACUUACUGAAUGAAGGAUCCCCUUUGUGGUAACAUCAAAUGCACCAGCAGUUCCAUUGGUAGCAUUGAUCCAAUCAAUUAUUCUCUGCCGAUGAGCAUCUUGAUUGUGAUCCAUUUCACCAUAUGUAUAACUGAGGGAAUCCCAGUACUCACCAACAGCGAAAUAAGGUUCAGUUGCCUCCAUGUAGUCCUUGACAUAACCACCCCAAAAUCCUCUGACAAAAUCAAGCCUCCAUCCAUUAUAUCCAAUUUCAUCUCUGCAUCAUAUGUAACCAGAAAACUCAGUAGUUGUAAUUUGAUAAUGUACAAGAGUUGUAAUACAGAAAAAGUCAAUGUGUGGGAUUUUAGUAUAAACAUCUGCAGCAAAUUAAAUUGACACAGGUAAGAAAUCCAGGGUCAACAAGGUUCUACAGAUCAUCCAGUAGAAUAUUUUCAUGAACCGCUAAGAAAACAUGACAGUUCAAAGUAUAGCAAACUCAUGAGAAUCCAGAUUAACUAUUUUACUUAGAGCUAUGGAGAACUGUUUUAGACACAUGCCAUGGAAACUAAGGAGAUCUGAACUCAUGCAGCAGAACAUAGACCAUUACCCAAUUGAUUUGAAACAAAUAACUGAUCAUCUUUUCAUACAGGAUGCUCAUGCAGCAUCCCUGCUUAUACUUUUACAUGUAAUAAAUGGUACUGCUAUAUGACCAAAUGGAAUAAUGAUUCGAAGAUGACUCCAGAAUGCUUCGUUCUGAAAAUAAGUUCAGUUUUGAUUCCAAUUGAAUGUAAUAAGGCUUUGCUUGACAGAUAAUAUGAAGAAAAUGAGAUCACCUUAGCCAGCAUAACCAUUCUUUUAGAUCCUGCCUCACAAAGUCUUGUGAAUGAUCAAUGUUUGGCGCAGCAUGAAAAUUAUCUCCACUACUUUUGCUGCCUCUACCCUGUAUGAUAGAAAUAACUGAUUAUAUGCAUCCCAAAAUACAGUAUAUGCAUUCAUACCUCCCAUCGAGUUCAGGUACAAAAAAGCACGCCUAAAAGCUGCAUGGUCACUACAUUUGCAGAAAAAGGACAGGACAUGCACAUUUGCAAUGAUCAAUCCAGUAAAACAAAGUUUUCUUCUUGAUGCAAAUAAAGUACAACUCAGCCAAAUAACUGCUAUUGUUUGUCAAGUCGAAGUUCUAUAUUGUUUUGGCAUACAGUGUUCAUGUUGCUAGAGGAUUGACAUUGCAACAGCAUGCUUAUUAUAUUGGGCCAUUCAGGCAUUCAUUUUCUUCCUCAUUCACUAAUUUGGUUUGGAAGAUGACUCAGGAUGAUACAAUCAGGAUCUGAAAGUUACAUAUUCUUGCCACAACCUCAACUAAUCUUGUCAAACAAGACAAUGAAACAUAAUUAGGAUGGUAUUCCUCAAGUUGUAGCCAACAAAGUGUCAACAAAAGGCACCCUCGAAACAUAUGCAAAGAUUGAAGGAGAUGCCCAAACAACAAUGGAUUAGCAUUAGGAUAAAUCUCCAGAUAAAGUAUUUUAAUUGAAAAGAAAGGUGAACUGAAUAAUUAUCAGAGCAGUGGAGAAGUUCAAUGAGAAAUCAUCAUAAAAGUUCCUUUUCCGAUGAAAUUCAUGAAUAAGGAUGUUAGACUGGGCCAGAUCAGGAAUUUUGCCCUGUCACACAAAAUCUGGCCAUUGAGAGCAACAUAUAGCAUUCUGGAAACGUUAAUACUGCUAAACAAGUGAGCCACAUUAAGACACUACUAUGAGCUACAGCAUUUCAUGAGCACUCAGUACGAUGCAUGUCUUUUUUAUUUUACCUACGUGUCCAAGAUUUUAGGAAGGCAGUUAACAUGUCAAGUUAUAGAGCAUAAUGGAUGAGCAGUAAACUACUGUAGGCCAGUUGAAGUUAAAAUACUCAAACAAAUGUUUUGUUUAUUAGUGAAAGUAUACUGUGAUGUAUCUCUAUAUUCUUUUUCUUUUAAUGCAGUAAGUAAAAGAAUAAAAUUGCAAGGACCAAGGAGCAGUAUUUAUAUACAAAGAAAUGACAAUAUUUUCACACUCAAGCCCCAAGAUUAUAACAUGCAUGUAAUAUCAUGCAUUCUAGAACCAUAUGAUACUAUAUUCUUAAUUCAGCAAAAGAAAUAGAUGCCGAAUAUUAAAAAUCAAAAUCUUACGAACCUGGAAAUGUGGAUCAUCUGCAACAAUGGCCCGGUCAUCCCAAUUUAAGCGACCCCCAAAUAUAUUCCAUACACCAUUUUGAUUCUGGAAGUGUGCACAACGGUGGUUUAAGACAGCAUCUCCAAGAACUUUAAGACCCACUCGAUGGAGGCUCUUCACAAGAUCCUUCAGUUCAUCAAUACUUCCGUAUCUGAUACAUAUAUGCCACAGAGGUGAAAUGGUAUUCACCAAAUGAUGAUAGUGACCAUCACCAAUUCAUAUAGAAUAGAAACAAAAAAAAAGAAAAAGGUGAUUUAAAGAAGACCUACCAUAUUUCUUAGAGAAUGAUAAACAACAAAAUUUAUGAACAGAAGUAAGAAGCUCCUUGUCAAGUAGAAAAGGGCAUACAUCAAGCAAGUAAAAUGAAAAAGGCUAAAUAAAAGGUUCCAAAUAACAUGCAUCAGCUUGGGUUUCUAUGAAAACCCAAGCUAAAAUAUAUUUUGAUGAAGAUCAUGAAAAAAUUAUUAUGCAUUUUAUAAAUUCAUAUCCAAGUACCUGGAAUUCAAAUUAUAUAAAUCCUUUGGCAUGUAACCUUCUGGUGACACAGAUUCUGUUGGCGGGGGCAACCAAAUCACAGUGAAUCCAAGUGAAGAUAUUUCUGCAGCUUUUUCUUUGAGUUCCAUGUGCCAUCUUCCAGAUUUAUUUGAUUCCCAGUUAAAACCUUGGAGCAAUAUUUCAUGCCCUGUCCCUGUCCCUGAGCAAAUUUUAGCAGGAGGAGCCUUUUCUACCUCAGAUUCUAGAACAGAUUCCUCAGUGAAGGUAGGAAUGGAGCUUCUGAAGAUACUGUAGGCUUCAGCAGCCAACUUCUCAAUUUCUUGAAGAAUGCUUUCCUGUGCUUCUUUUGUCUUUGUCUGACGAACCUUCUCAGAGGAAAUGCCAUUUACUAAGUUCCUUAUUUCAUCAAUUAUCUCAUCAGUAUAUGCAGUACGAGAAACUUCUUCAUUUCCUUCAGCAUCUUUCCCAGAUGCUAGUACGCCUUCAGAUUGCCCCUGUCCAGGUUGAGUAGGCAAGCUACUUGAAGUUGAGAGGGGGACAUAGAAGUCAUUACCCUUACAUUUCAACCAAGUGCCCUCAUUUAACUUCAGAACAAAAAGAAAGCCAGCAAAUUCUUCAUCUAAACUAAACAAUCCCGAGCAUCCAUUUCCACCAUCAUUUGGCUGCAGAGAAGGAGACCCCGGUAAAUGAAGAAAUUAACAGUUAUUGUUAAAGCAAAUUGUUUGAAUACCUUUUCUUAAAUAACACCAUUAAGGCACCGAGUCUGAAGCGUAGAUCAGAGCAUAUAUGUACAAUGCUUAUAUGCAAAAGAAUGAUCAGAGCAUAUAAGUGUAUAAGUAUAGCAUAAUCAGUUAUAUGCAAAAAAAUGCCUUCAACCAGAUCCCACAGAAGGCCACAUUGGAAUGUAUAAGAUCUUUCAGACUGUAUGCAGACAGGUUCAGAAAAUGUCCUCAACCCCUUAGUAAAAUGCAUACAUCCAAAUAUAUAACCAGUCCUUUUGAAAAAAUUUCCAGAUGAAUAAUUGCAAUUUUGGCUGGACCCUGAAAGGGUUUCAGAAGUGAAAACAUUUGAGCUUUAACUAGCUUAGAACUUUACUGUAUCCAAAAGAAGCUUACACACUUGAUGAAUAUUUAACAAAUAAGUAUCACAUCACGGACAUCCACAAUGACCUUAUCUCCAUUGUCCCAAAUAAUUCAGAAAACAUGUAUGUUCUAUACCUGUAACAUAGUCUGCAAAGCCUUGUUCUUAAACACAGUUGUUUCUGGUGGAUGUGGGCUAGAAGGAAUUUCCCAGUUUUUAGCAUCAUCUCUGCAAACUCCCCAGUGAAGAACAACUUCUCCAGGUAGAUCAGUUUCUAAAUAAAGAAGAUACUUGGCUGUCUUAGGGCACUUAGUAACUGAUACAGUAGCUGAGUUUUGAAUGGUAACUUGUUUAGUAAUAGGCUGCUCUUCAUAGAAACCUUUUAGCUGUCCACUGUCUUGUUUCACAUCUUUGGUCUCACUGUUGUUAUCUUCAUCUUUAGAAGGAAGCGUUUCAGUUUUGAGAAGCAUGUUAGAAAGGAGAGACCCUAAAAUUAUGAGAAGGGUUAAGAGGCUGUCAAUUAACAGUUAAAUAUAAAAUGAAGAAGGAUGGAAAGACUAUAAGGAGGAACAAGCAAGAAACAUAAACCAGAUAUUAAUGACCCACAUGUACAACUCAUAAUAGUAAUUUGAGUUGGAUCUACAACUUAACCGCGAUUUUGCUAGCUAAUUCAGCUGUCCACGUUUAUUUCAAAUAAUACCAAAAUUCAGCUAAUUCAAUAGAAAGAGGUGCUGGGAAAAAAUUACGUUUCAGACCUUAAUAUUAUGAAACAAAAUAGAAAACCAUAAACCUAACAGAACGUAAAUCCAAAUUAGAAGCCACUGACCACAUUUAUCCAUUUGCACCGACUCUAUUCACCAUUUGAUUGCUGGCCUACAUUCAGAGUAUGGCUCUCUUUAACACACUCUAAUGGUCAUGCAAAUGUGUAGGACUGCAUUCAAGUAAUACAUCGGAUUAGGGACGUCCCCUCCCAAAUGUAUUAUAAUAGACUUGUCUAGAAGCAUGAUUGCACACCAAACAUUAAUAACUGGAAACAGAUGCAGGAUGAAAAAUAGAAAAAGAAAUCAGAAGGUUGUAAACCACAUAAAGCAAUGAUUUCUACAACCUGGCCAGAUACUGAAGCCUCUCUUUGCUCCAACUACAUUUCCACCUUCGAGAAGGUAGUCCACAAGAGGCACCUUGAAAUCUCUUCCUUUAUGCUGAUACCAAGCUCCUGUUUCUUCAUCCUGUAACACAAUUAUCACAGUGGGAAGAAGAGAAAUAUGUUAAAUAAUUAGUUUAUCAAACGCAAAAGCUAGCUAGCUGAAGUGCUAAAUGUUGAAAUCAAAACCUUUAAUACAAAAUUUAUAGCUGCGAUUGAACUGUUGGGAUCUAAAUCAAUCUUCACUUCAUAAAACAUAUCUGCCUCCGAUGAUUUCUCCAAUGGUGUCUCUAUUGCGUAGUCCUGAAAAACAUAUAUGCUUAAUGCUUGUGCUUGGAAUACAAAAGUGGGCUCAUGGCUCGCAUAUUAGAAGCCAUAGGUAUUACCUUUAUGGAAAUAGAUCCACGUGGUCUCAUAUUCUUAGGAGGUUGAUCCCAUUCACUGCGAGAUUCAAAACAUUGCAUUAUCACAUUAAAAAGAAAAAAAGAAAAAAAAAAACUCAUAAGAAAAGCAAGUAGAAUGCCCCUUUUACAUGUCUUAUGAGGAUCAAAUUCAAAAAUAAGGAAACAACCAAAGCGGAUUUUAGAAACCUGCCGACGUCGCCCACAUAAGAAACUCCCCAAUGAAGAAUCCAUUUCCCUGGAAGGCUACAUCCUACGCUAAGCUGCCAACGUUGUUGAUCUUUCUCCUCCUUAUCUAAUCUCACGAAAAUCUUUCCCUCAAUCUAUGAUUCCAAGCCAAACAGAUAAAGCAUCAACAACAUAUGCAAGAUUAUGGGCUUGUUUGUAAUAAAUCAUGUGUAACAGUUCAUUGGAUUCUUGCAAACUCAUGUCAUUUUUUGCAUGUUUUCAUUUCUUCAAAAUGCUUUUUUUUCUAUAAGAUGAAAGAAUUAAAUUCUGGCAACUAUGAGAUUUCCAAACAUUAGGAUUGACUAAAUAGAAUUUAACUCAAUUGAAUUAUGCACUUUUAUUGUUGCCUCAGUCUAAAGAUUAAAAUAAAACAAGCAACCAAACUGAUCCAAUCAAAUUUCAAAUCUCAACUUUCAAAGUUCCUCCGUCUUAAGUAAAUAAAUAAAAAGCAGAACGUCAAUAAAUACAUAGAAAUAAAUGAAUAUGUACAGGAGCAUGUAUUUUACGUGUAUAUAAUAUGUGUAAAUAAAAGAUACGAAUACGUAUAGAGGAAGCUAUAGAACAAGUGAAAAACCGUUUCAGUUCGAGAGAGAGAAAAGGUCUCCUUAAAUAAAACAUCAGCCGAUUUAAACGUUUCGAUAAGAGCCGUAUCGGUGGUGGAGCUAGCUCGGACUGUGUGAGAGAGAGGAGGAGAGCGCUUGAAGUUGCAGAAGCUGGAGCCAUUAGAGAGGAGAAGCUUUUUAGAGAAAUUCAAAGAAGAAGGUUUCAGGAUCUUCCUAGAACCGAUAGGCAACGAUUUUUCUCUACCGGAAAAUCGGAGAAGCGGCUCUACGGUAAGCGUCGACAUAACAUCGGUCUUUUUGUUUUCUGUUUACGGUGAUGUGCGUGUGAGAGGAAAGAGAAUGACGGAACGAAACAAAUAAACAGAAAUUUUUGCGGAUAUUUAUAAGAGUGUUUGGAGUGGCCAGUGGUCACUGGAUAUUUCCUUUUUUUUUUUUUUUCUAAAUUUUCUUUUUAUAUAAUUUCCACUUUUUUUGUGUCCGAUAAAUGUUUUCCCUUUCUCCAAAAGGUUUUCCAUUUCGCUUUUUGAUCUUAUCAAACUCCACAAUCGUAUCCAAAUCUUAAAGGAGUACUAAUCUAUAAUAUUACCUUAAAGAUACUUUCACAUAAAACUAUUAAUUUAAGAUAAUGCAUUAUCUUAAAGAUAUUUAUUUUUUUUGUUUUAAUACGUAUUUUAUAAUGACAAAAAAAGAAAGUAAAAAAUUAAUAUCUAUUUAUAUACUCAAAUCAUCCAAAAUGUUUGUGUUUUCUUUUCUUUUUUUAGUAACAUAUGACCAUGUAAUAAUGAUUAAUCGGCGCCAACAUAAUUUUUCUUACACUCAUCCCAUCCCAUGUGUGUGGAUAUAUAUAUAUCUAAUUUUUCAACAACCUACCAGACACUCUUUGUAAGCAUUAAAUUAGAUCAAUUUAAUGCAUGGUGGAAAGGACAAAACUCGUUUACAAAUUACUAAGUAGAAAUCAUACUUAAACUUUAUAUACAAGGCGAAUAGCUAAAAGCAAAGAAAUUGUGGUAGUAAGUACAUGUUUAAAUUUUUAAAGAAAAAUAGGAUAUGUGGACCUCGGGAUGUGGGUAAUCCUCAUCAUCUUUGCGUGAAUCACAAGGCUUUAAAAAAACUCCCCAAAUAAUAGUUGGAAUUCUGAUUUCCAAAACAUUUGCAUGUGAACUCAGGCAGUUUGCCCAUCAUACAGCAUCAAUUCCAACUCCAUAGAUACGGUAUGCCUAUGACCCAUGUCAUUAAAUAUUGAAAGGCUUUGCCUUAACUUGUAUUGUAUUCUCAAAGAAUUAUCCUCCAUUCCAUUUCACAGUAAGAGAGUUUAGUUCCUAAUCUUGGUUUUAAGGUUUUCAUCCUGCAGAAGUCAUUAAUUUUUUUACGACUGAUUGUUAAAAUGAAAAAAGACAAAAAAAAAAAAAUUACCUUUUAAUAAGGCCAUUCGUAAGAAAAAAAAAUAGUGACUCAUCUUUAAAUUUUAUUAAUUUAAUAUAUGACAUCUUUUAACUAUUACUUUAUAAAUAUAUAGCCAAUUCAUAUUUUGCCCACUUAAUACGACCAACAUUAUUUUUAUAAAAUUAUCUCUUUGAAAAUAGUAAGAUAUUUAACCAAUGCAAACACGGUGAAAUCAGAAUGCUGCUUAGUGUCGUACUGUGAUUCCGUCGGCCCAGGCCCAAAAUUCUUGGAUUGAACUUACAGCUAGCAAAAUUACAAAAAUACCUAUAUUUUUAUAUAGGUAUUUAAUAUAUUUUUUAUUUUUUUAUUUUAAUAUAUAUUAUUGAUAAGUUUAACCUCCUUUUUUAAUUUUCCCUCUAAAACAGUUAAGAAGCCUCCAAACUAACAGAUUCAAACAUUUUCUUUUUGGGUGAUUUUAAAAAGAAAAACGCAAAAUAUCUGCAGAAAUAGAAAAAUCUACUAGCAGAUAAGAAGAAGAAGAAAGGUUGUUGCCACCAUUCAAAGAUGGCCAAUAGCAUCCCAAAGAAUGUUCACAUUGGCUAAAAAGACAGGGAGAGAGUUGGGCAGUAUGCAUGAGUACAAGAUAGUUUUCAAAUAGUGUCCCAUGAUUUGUCAAUUUAUUAAAACUAUGAAUAGUGAGUGUAUCAUAAACAUAUGUCAAUUUAUUAAGACAUGGAUUAUGUAUUAUUAUAAUAUAAUUUAUUUAUUUAUUUUAGGACCAUUUUGUUAAUCCAUGAAUUUUAUGUUGAACUUUCUUCGAUUGGAUGUAACAGAUUUAUUGAGAUAUGUAAAUUGAUUAGUGUAGUUAGUGCAUUUUGAUUAAUUUUAAUAUAUAAUAAAGUUUUAGGUACACUGAGUCUAUUGUAGAUUUAAUUAGAUUUAGUUAAAAUUUAUCUUAAAUUUAGGUAGGUUUGAAUGAUUUCCUUUAUUAGCUAUAUCUUUUAUCUGUAAACAGAAGAUAUGCCUUUAUCUUAAAUUUAUUAUAUAUAUAAAAUAAAUUUGAAUCAGUGAAACUUUAACCCCAUGACUGUUUAAGGACCACUAAUAAUUGUUCCAAAUGAAAUCAAUUUUUUCUGAAAAGAAAAUAAAUAUUAAAAAUUGAAAACUCGGAACCAAUGCAAACACGGUGAAAUCAGAAUGCUGCUUAGUGUCGUAUUGUGAUUCCGUCGGCCCAGGCCAAAAAUUCUUGGAUUGAACUUACAGCUAGCAAAAAUUACAAAAAUACCUAUAUUUUUAUAUAGGUAUUUUUGUAAUGUUACACAAUAAAAACGAUAUUUAUUAUUAAUUUUAAAUUAUUUUUAAAAUUUCUUUUAGAAAAAUGGUCAGCAUCCCUCCAAUAGAUAUAAUAAAAAAUUACAAGAAUAUCCAUGUAUUUUUAUUAAAAUACAGUUUUUUAACUCUCUUUUUUUAAAAUAUAGUAUAAGUUGUUUUUUAGUUUUUAUUUAGUCGUGGUUUGAUAAAAUAACCAAAAAAUAACUAAAGAAAAAUUAAAAAAUUUAAAUAAUAAUUAAAAAAAUAAUCAUAUUAUAUUUUAAAAAAUUAUACAUUAAAACUGAUAUUUUUAUUGACUUUAGAAUAUUUUUGAAAAGUUUAUGUUUUUAUUUUUAUUUGUAGGCACACAGGAGAAAGGUAUUGUAUCCUCAAAAUAAAUUGAGUAGAAUUUCAAUAUCUUUUUUUUUCUUUUUAAGAAAUUUGAAAACUCAAUAUCUUAUUUUAUAUUUAUAUAAUUAGUGGUCAACUUAUAUACUAUGCAACUAUAUUAAAUUUCUUGUUGUAAAUAACAAUGUAACAUAAAUUAAUAGAAAAGAAUGAAUAAUUAUUAAUAAGAUAAGAAUAUUUAUUUAUCGUGAUUUAGACAAUAAGAAUGAAUAAAAUAUAUUUAUUUGAAUUGUUUAAUAAUAUUUACAAUAUUUUAUAAAUACAAUAAGAAUGUAUUAAAAAUAUAAUAAUUUAUGUUUUUUUGAAGAUAGAAUUCUUUGUAUAAUUAGAAUAUGAAGUUAUUACGUUAAUAUAAUAUUAGAAAUAAAAAUAAAAUGAAAAUUAAAUAUUUAAAUAUGAAACUUAAUUAAAUCAGUACCAAUCAUACCUUUAAAUGCUCUAUUGCUCAUAUUUUUUCCAUAGUACGGGUAUGCAAAAUAAAAACAUGUGUCGAGUCAUGUAACCUAUCUUUAUUUUAUUUGUUGAAAAUGAAAUAGAAUGUGGUAUAUAAAAUAAGAUACUCAUUUCUUAACAUUCAAAAUUUUGUUGUGCAUUUUUAAAUCUAAUUAAAUUAAAUUAAAAAUAAAUAAAUAAACUGGAAAUUAAAAAUAAAUAAAUAAACUGGAUUGCCUCUCAAUAAGCGUUUGUUUAUGAUCUUUAGCUCGACUAUACUUUUUUUUUUAUGAUGAAUUGUUGGUGAUUGUGGACUCUUAAUGAAUGACACUGCUAUGAGAGUAAAUAGUCCUGUGGUACUAAAAAUUUACCUAUAUUUUUAAUUGAUACUAACAUUUUGAUUUUUUUCUUUUUUUGUAAAAAAAUUUUAAUUUAUAUUACAGGUGACAAACCCUAUUGAGAUCUGUUCAAUUUCUUAUAACGUAGAGAACAUAACUCCACAUCAGGAUUCUAAUCAUCAUCCAUCGUACUUGACUUUGGAUAAAUAAUCCCGUUGGUAUCAAAAUUUUGCCAUUUAUAUCCAAAUAGUACCAAUUUUUCAACUUGUUUCCUUUUAAUACCACAUACAUUGUUUUUGUAUCAAUUAAUGUUACCUAUUGGGAUUUUGAUAAUUUUUUUGUUGAUGUGUUAAUUAGUGUAAUGUUUAGGUGAACUUUCAGCCGCCAUAAAAGAUUAGCUACCAUCAAUUAAAAUAAAAAUAAUGGGUGUGAUAUUAAUUAAAAAAAUUGGUACUAUUUGAAUAUAAAUAGCAAAAUUUUAAUACCAAUUUAUCAAAAGCUAAGCGCGAUGUGGACAAUGAGUGGAAUGCUUAUAUAUAUAUAUUAAUUUUUGAUUUAAUUACUAUAACGGAUUCUUUUUAUUUAUAUUUUGUUUCAAAAUUUCAAUUUAAGUGUUAAAGAAUAAAAUAAAAUCAAAAAAGUAAGAGAGUGAUUAAGAGUGUUAUUAAUUCUUUGUUAAUUAUUUCAUCUUGCAUCAAUAAGUAAUCCAAAUAUGGAGAUUAUCUAAUCUAAAAAUAGAGAAAGAAAAAAGAAGGGUAUUGAUUGGUUAGAGAGAAUAUGUUAUUUGGUUAUAAAAUAAAUUACUCUAUAUAUUUGCAGUCUCUUUACUUUUAGAUCCAAUCUUGUAUCUAAUGAGUUUUAAAAUUUAAUUUAAUUUAUAUAUUAGUUACUUGGUACUUUUUGUUUAAAAGUCAUACAGUGGUUUCUAUGAUAAUAAAAUUAAAAUUAUAAUGCAAUGCUCGGUUGGUAUUUAUAAAAAAAUUAUUUUAUUUAAAAAAUAUAUAAAAAAUAAAAUAAAAAUAUUAAAAUUGAAUAAAAUAAAAUAUAUUAAUAAAAUUAGUAUAAAAUUUAUUUAAAAUAUUUUAUUCAUUUUAUUAAAAUUUAGUUUAGUUUAAUUCUAUAUAAAUUUAAAUAUAUAAAAUAAUAAAUUAAUUCUUUAUUUUAUAUAAAAAAUAAAUAUUUUAGAUUUAUAAAUAAAUAUUAUAAAAUUUAAAUUUUUUAACCCAAAACCCUGUAAAAUGAUUUAGUAUUAUAAAUCUCAAAUUAAGGACUUCCGUGAUAUUAGUACAUCAUUUUCAAGGAAGGAAAGAAUAUUUUAGCCUAGAAAUAUAUAUAUAUUUUUUAGCUCAAGGGCCUAUAAAUAUUAUUGUACACAAAUUUAAAAAGUUAAUGAAUAAAUAAUAUAAAAAAACAACCGCAAAGCCGGAUAUGCCCAAGCAUACCCUGUCCCGAUUCUCAAGGUCACAACAAACCUCCACCUCUUGUCAAGUAAGAAUCAACGGCCAGCAAAGCGCAUAUCUUCCCUUGACAAGAUCCAACGGUCCAAACCACACCUCACAAUAUAGAAUCGUCAAACAAAAAUUAAUAUUUAGGGUUUUCUCUUUCUUCGCUCAAUUUGAAGACUCUGGAAUACUCCACAGGCGGAAAUUUCCUUCAUUUUCCUCUUCUCAUUUGCUCGGGAAACAAUCAUGGGGAAAGGUCCUGGCCUCUACACUGAUAUUGGCAAGAAAGCCAGAGGUAACUCUAUUAGCGUUUUUAGCUGACUUGAUUCUCUGCUUUUUUUUUUUUUUUUUUUCCGUUUGGUUAAUCUGCUAUUUGCCGUUUCCAAGUGCGCUUUGAUUGUUGAGAACUUCUUAUUACAGAUCUUCUUUACAAGGAUUACCAGGGCGACCAUAAGUUCACCGUCACUACCUACACUUCAACUGGAGUCGUAAGUUUCCUAUAUUUUAUGUUCCCUGUUUGGUUGGUAAGAAAAUGAAAGAAAUCGAAAGAACAUUUAUACUCCUUUUAUUUUAUAGCUGGAAAUUGUUUACAUAAUUAGUCGAAAGUUCAACAGGAUAAAUAUAAGGUCUUGAAAUUGUUUAAACAUUUUUUUAAGCCGUAGUUCUCAACUUUAUUUGUUUGGCUACUGCCGCUGCUUUUUGUGUUUGGAAAUUUAACGUUUUACAUGCUUAUAGUACAAUGAUUGACUGCAUGACGUUUAUACUUCAUUUCUGUUUCAGGCAAUCACUUCAACUGGAAUUAAGAAAGGUGAGAUUUAUUUGGGGGAUAUAACCAGCCAGCUGAAGAACAAGAAUAUCACAACUGAUAUUAAAGUUGAUACUAGCUCUAAUGUAAGUUGGAAAAUAAGCUCUUUGAUAUCUCAUAUUUAUUUGUGCUAAUGGUUAGUUGAAUAUUGUUCGUUGCUGCUAUUAGGCAUUAAGAUUCAAAUAUUUAUGUAAACCUUUGUGGUUUUGUGCCCUAUAGCAUAGUUAAGUAUGAACUUGUGAUUCUUAUGCUACAGAUCAAAUUAAUUUUACUUUAACUUGUACUGGAAUACUAUUCAUGAUUAAAUUCUGUAAUCAUAACUUCUGACAUCUUAUGACAAAAUUUUGUGGAAUUGUAAUGCAAGAAGUUGUAAUACAAGUUACAGUGAUGGAUCUUGUCGCUAUAGUUCCAACUGCAUUACAUAAUUUAAAAAUGCAUGCUUCUUUUUUUUUAUUUUUUUAUUGUUUUUCAUUUGUAUGCGUUCUUGUACAGUAUCAAGCUAUAGUAAGUAAUAUUUUGAUUGUCAUUCUGGAUAUACAACAGUAAGAUGAUAAUUGCAAUGUCUUGAGUAAAAGCACUCCAUUUGUUGAGCUGGAUGCAAUCUAGCUCUUUCACUAUAUACCAAGAUAUUGGAAUUCCUUCGCGCAUUUGUUUCAUUACUAAUUCAAAUUAUGCUGUAUCAUGCAGUGCAUGCUGUUUAAUGCUGUUUCUGUUUUUAACUUUGAUUGCUCAACUAAUAGGGUAUCUAUAUAUCUGUAGGUUUCCACAACCAUCACCGUGGAUGAGCCUGCUCCUGGACUCAAGACGAUCUUUAGCUUCAAAAUUCCUGAUCAGAGAUCUGGCAAGGUAAGGAGCCACUUGUGUUAAUAUUGAUAUAUGGAAAAUAGCUUGCCAGAUGCUGUGAUUCAUUGGCAGUCUAGAUCUGAUUUAUGAGGCUUAUGAUUGAACCAAAGAGGAGUAGGAAGAGGGGGCGAACUAUAGUUGUUCAUUUCUUUCUUUGUUGUCUGACUUGUGAUUUUUUAACAGGUGGAACUCCAGUACCAGCAUGAGCAUGCAGGGAUAAGCACUAGCAUUGGGUUGACUGCAAACCCCAUUGUUAACUUCUCAGGUGUGAUUGGGAGCAGUGCUGUUGCUCUUGGGACUGAUCUCUCAUUUGAUACUGCCAGUGGGAACUUCACCAAAUUGAAUGCAGGAUUGAGUUAUAGCAACACUGACCUCAUUGCUUCCUUGACAUUGUGAGUAAUUCCUUCUGCGAAACCAGCAAAUAAAAGCCACUAUUAUUAUGUCAGCACACAGGCAUAUUGAUUCAUCCUUUUCACUGGUGAUCGAAUUCUACUAGUAUAAACAUCUAGUGUGAGCUUCUUUGAAUACUUUUGAUGUGUCUGGAGUCUGGUUUAGUUCUUUUAAUCUGAUUUUAUUUAAGAACAUAAAAUUAGAGCUUUUUCAAUCAAAUAUUGGAUUUUAUGUUUUUUUGCAUCUUUUUGGUUCAUCUGGUUGCCCUUUUUUUUGAAGUUUCAAUUAUUUCACUCUUUUUUGUGAAAUUAAUUGCAGGAAUGACAAAGGGGAUACUCUUAAUGCUUCCUAUUACCACAUUGUGAGCCCACUGACCAACACAGCUGUUGGUGCAGAGCUGACCCAUAGUUUCUCAAGCAAUGAGAAUACACUGACUUUUGGCACACAGCAUGCACUUGACCCCUUGACCACAGUGAAGGCUCGGGUGAACAGCUAUGGCAAAGCAAGUGCUCUCAUCCAGCAUGAAUGGCG
rnacentral:lncRNA from 1 species